UCGAAUUUACAAGGGGGGAGAAGGAAAAGGGGAAAGAUGAAGGGGGGAAAGAUUGUCGCUGGGGGGUUUUCCCUGUGCACGUCGUUCUUUCUUUGUUUGACUCCGUUCCUCUCUUUCCUUCACACACACACACCUUGUGCACCUGUUGUAGGUCUCUCUCGAUAAAGAGGACCUAUGUUUUUUCACAUCACACCCUUAUCGUAUGUCCAUAGAAUGUAUGGGAAAAUGAUAUAUA
rnacentral:misc_RNA from 1 species